ACUCUUAGCGGUGGAUCACUUGGCUCGUGGAUCGAUGAAGAACGCAGCUAGCUGCGAUAAAUAGUGCGAAUUGCAGACGCAUUGAGCACAAAGAUUUCGAACGCACAUUGCACCAUCGGGUUGAUUCCCGAUGGUACGUCUGGUUGAGGGUCAAUAAAUAAGACGAUAUAAUUUAUCAAAUAAUUCAUUCAAACAUUCAAAUUUGAUGCGAAUAUUUUGUUUGUUUGAUAAAAGAUUAUUUGAUUCGAAUUAUUUUAUUCAUCAGGUGAUUUUAAAAGAAGAGAGUAAUCUUGAAAUCCCCUGAUAAGUUGUACAAAAAAAAAAAAAAUAAGGAGUAAAAUAGAAAUACAUAUAUUUUACUUACUUAUAAUUUUAAACAUAUUAUAAAUAUAUAAUUGCAUCUUUCAUAUAUAUAUAUAUAAGCAAGGGAAGAUGUCAAUUAUCUAUCAUCAUUUUAUAUUCAUUAUAAUGAUUGAUUCAUUUAUUGCUUUUUGUUUCAUGAUAAAAGGAAUAAAUAAGGAUAGAUAAUGAAUGAUGAAAUGAUUGAUCCAAUCAAAUAUAAUAUGUUUUCUAUCAUUUCUUUGACCUCAACUCAGUCGUGAUUACCCGCUGAAUUUAAGCAUAUAACUAAGCGGAGGAAAAGAAACUAACGAGGAUUUCCUUAGUAACGGCGAGUGAAAAGGAAAAAGCCCAACGCUGAAUCCAAUAGAUAUUUGUCUAUAUGGAAAUGUAGCGUAUAGGUGUAACUAUCCGUAACAUAUUUUUACACCCAAAGUCCCCUUGAGCGGGGCUACAGUCCAUAGAAGGUGCUAGACCUGUACGGGUGAAAAAAGUUACGGUAGGUUAUUCCUUGGAGUCGGGUUGUUUGAGAUUGCAGCCCAAAGAGGGUGGUAAACCUCAUCUAAGGCUAAAUACGACCACGAGACCGAUAGCAAACAAGUACCGUGAGGGAAAGUUGCAAAGAACUUUGAAGAGAGAGUUCAAGAGGGCGUGAAACCGCUGAGAUGGAAACGGAUAGAGUUAACGAAACUUAUCGGUAUUCAACCAAUCAAUUUAGCAAUCUUAAUUGAUUUAUUAUUCAUUAAUAUUUUUUUAUUAAUGAAUAAAAUGAUAUUUAAGAUAUGAAUGCUAAAUUUAUAAUAUAAUGAUUGGUGUAUUUAUCGAUGGUAUGCAUCGAGAGCUUCGUUUUAGCAUAUUAAUAUAGCUAAUUUAGUGGAUCAAUUAUUUCAAUUGAUAAUUGAAACCCUAAAUCUAUUGAAAUAUGUCUUAAAUGAAGUUUUAAUCCCAUAUGUGUAACUUUCACUUGAAAUAAUAGUGACAUGCAUCGAUUAUAAUUUUUGCUAAUUACAUUUACAUGUGGUCGCAUGCGACUUUAUCGGUAAAUGUUGAUGAAAUAAUUGGUAAUAUUAUAAUAUUGUAUGCAUUAUUAAAAGUUACAUCUCGAUGUGAACGUUAAUCACCUAUCUGACCCGUCUUGAAACACGGACCAAGGAGUCUAGCAUAUACGCAAGUUAUUGGGUAGUAAACCUGAUUAUAAAAGCAUAAUGAAAGUAAAGAUUAUCUUUGGUAUAAUUGAUAUGUGAUCUAUAUAUUAUAUGUAUAUGUAAAAGUAUGCAUAUAUUAUAUAUAGCGUAACAUAACCCCGUUCAUAUUGCAUGCAAUAGGGCGGAGGUAGAGCGUAUAUGCUGGGACCCGAAAGAUGGUGAACUAUACCUGAGCAGGAUGAAGCCAGAGGAAACUCUGGUGGAGGUCCGAAGCGAUUCUGACGUGCAAAUCGAUCGUCUGACUUUGGUAUAGGGGCGAAAGACUAAUCGAACUAUCUAGUAGCUGGUUCCCUCUGAAGUUUCCCUCAGGAUAGCUGGAGUACGUAAUGAAGCAGUUAUAUUCGGUAAAGCGAAUGAUUAGAGGAAUUGUGGGACGAAACGUCUUCAACCUAUUCUCAAACUUUCAAUGAGUAUGACGUCUUGCUUGCUUAAAUGAAGCGUAGACAUUGAAUGUGUGCUCCAAGUGGGCCAUUUUUGGUAAGCAGAACUGGCGCUGUGGGAUGAACCAAACGUUGAGUUAAAGUGCCAAACUUUCCGCUCAUGAGACCCCAUGAAAGGCGUUGGUUGAUAUAGACAGCAGGACGGUGGCCAUGGAAGUUGGAAACCGCUAAGGAGUGUGUAACAACUCACCUGCCGAAUCAACUAGCCCUGAAAAUGGAUGGCGCUUGAGCGGGAGACUUAUACUCAACCGUUGCAUGGCUUGUGUUAAAAAAUUUGAAAAAAAGAAAGAAAGAAAUGGGAAACCUGGCCGCAACGAGUAAGAGGGUCGCAAUGGUUAGCGUUGAAGACUUUGGGCGUAGGCCCAGUUGGAGCUUCCAUUGGUGCAGAUCUUGGUGGUAGUAGCAAAUAUUCAAGUGAGAUCCUUGAAGACUGAAGUGGAGAAGGGUUCCACGUGAACAGCAGUUGAAUGUGGGUCAGUCGAUCCUAAGAUAUUGGCUAAUGCCGUUUUUAAUAAAAUAGAGGAAUGGAGGUGUAAUCCAUCUGAUAAAUCGAAAGGGAAACGGGUUAAUAUUCCCGUACCUGGACACGGAGAUAAAUGCUCAUCGUGAGGAUUUAGCGCGGUAACGCAAAUGAACUCGGAAACAUUGAGGAAAGCCCGAGCCAGAGUUCUCUUUUCUGGUUAAGGAACGGACUCCCUGGAAUCGGUUCAGCCGGAGAUAGGGAUGUUGUUUCCGUAAAGCGCCACGGUUCCUGUGGUGUCUCGUGCGCUUUGUUCGAUCCAUGAAAAUCCGAGGGAGGCUAUUUGAAUUUCGUGCCAGAUCGUACCCAUAUCCGCAGCAGGUCUCCAAGGUGAACAGCCUCUAGUCGAUAGAAUAAUGUAGGUAAGGGAAGUCGGCAAAUUAGAUCCGUAACUUCGGGAUAAGGAUUGGCUCUAAGGACUGGGCCGGUCGGGCUGUAAUGUGAAGUGAGUACGGUUUGAUCCAUGCAGUGUAACAUUAAUGAAUCAUGCAUUCAUUGAUGAAACUCGGCUAGUGUUCGAACUGUCUUAUGGACCGUUACAGCUGCGUAUCACAUUUGCUUUUUUUCAACAAAGUGAAUGUUUAUUGAUACUUCGGCCGGCGUUAAACAGUCAACUUAGAACUGGCACGGACUCGGGGAAUCCGACUGUCUAAUUAAAACAGAGGAGACAGAUGGCCCUUGCGGGCGUUGACUGUCUCUGAUUUCUGCCCAGUGCUCUGAAUGUAAAAGUGAAGAAAUUCAACCAAGCGCGGGUAAACGGCGGGAGUAACUAUGACUCUCUUAAGGUAGCCAAAUGCCUCGUCAUCUAAUUCGUGACGCGCAUGAAUGGAUUAACGAGAUUCCCACUGUCCCUAUCUACUAUCUAGCGAAACCACAGCCAAGGGAACGGGCUUGGCAAACACAGCGGGGAAAGAAGACCCUGUUGAGCUUGACUCUAGUCCGACUCUGUGAAGAGUCAUGAGAGGUGUAGCAUAAGUGGGAGGUUUUUGUAUUCUUGUACAAAUACCAACAGUGAAAUACCACUACUUUCAUCGAUUCUUUACUUAUUCGGUAAAACGAGAAUUGAAGCAUUAUAUGUGUUUCGAAAUUUUUGAUUUAAGUUAAACUACUCGGUGGUUUAACGACUCGCACCGAAGACAGUGUCAGGCGGGGAGUUUGACUGGGGCGGUACAUCUGUCAAAACGUAACGCAGGUGUCCUAAGGCUAGCUCAGAGAGGACGGAAACCUCUCGUAGAGUAAAAGGGCAAAAGCUCGCUUGAUCUUGAUUUCCAGUACGAAUACAGACCGCGAAAGCGUGGCCUAUCGAUCCUUUUGAAUUUCUUAGAAGGUUUCUAGCAAGAGGUGUCAGAAAAGUUACCACAGGGAUAACUGGCUUGUGGCAGCCAAGCGUCCAUAGCGACGUUGCUUUUUGNNNNNNNNNNNNNNNNNNNNAAAUUUUUAGUUCUAUAUAUAUAUAUAUAUAUAUAUAUAUACUAACAAAUAUAUAUAUAUAUGCAAAAAAUAUAUAUAUUCAUGUAAAGAAUGAUAUAGUAUAUAAGAAUGGUAUUUUAUAGUAUGUAUGUGUCGUAAAAUUUUCAUGUAUACUAUGCAAUUUUCAUUAAUAAAUAAAUAUAUAUAAAUAAAAUGUCAAAUUUUUUAUUAGUUAAAAAUUCCAAUAAAAAACACUAUCAAACUAUUUUCUAGUAUAUAUAAAAAAAAAAAGAAAAUGAAAACAAAUCGUCCAAUCAAAGGAUAAGUCUCAACAGAUCGCAGUAUGGAGGCUGCUCUACUGCUUACAACACCUUGACCAGUAAUCAAGUCGUCUGCAAGUGAUCUUGCGCCCCGACAUUGUACCAGAGUAAUCCGGUUUUGGCAACCAUUUAACCAUUCGAUUAAAUAGCAAAGCCAUAUAAUGGGGCAUUAGCUGUAAUAAUGGAUGCAUUGCAACCAUCAUUACAUAAUAGUGCCUCCCGACACCGGGGAGCAAAUUUAUCGUUGCCUUGUCUAGGUGGGAUUCUGACUUAGAGGCGUUCAGUCAUAAUCCCUCAGAUGGUAGCUUCGCACCAUUGGCCGAUCGGCCAAGCACAUGAACCAAAUGUCUGAACCUGCGGUUCCUCUCGUACUGAGCAGGAUUACUAUCGCAACAACAUAUCACAGUAGGGUAAAACUAACCUGUCUCACGACGGUCUAAACCCAGCUCACGUUCCCUAUUGGUGGGUGAACAAUCCAACGCUUGGCGAAUUCUGCUUCGCAAUGAUAGGAAGAGCCGACAUCGAAGGAUCAAAAAGCAACGUCGCUAUGGACGCUUGGCUGCCACAAGCCAGUUAUCCCUGUGGUAACUUUUCUGACACCUCUUGCUAGAAACCUUCUAAGAAAUUCAAAAGGAUCGAUAGGCCACGCUUUCGCGGUCUGUAUUCGUACUGGAAAUCAAGAUCAAGCGAGCUUUUGCCCUUUUACUCUACGAGAGGUUUCCGUCCUCUCUGAGCUAGCCUUAGGACACCUGCGUUACGUUUU
rnacentral:rRNA from 1 species